rnacentral:lncRNA from 1 species
GAAACUUGGUCGGGUUUGGAAUGCUUGGAGAAGUUGGUCUUGGUGUACUGUCUCUGUUCUUGGAAAUCAAUUCUUGUGGUUGUUGAUCCUUGAAGGUCAGAGGCUUUUCGAGCUCUAUUUUAGUUUUGAGGAGAAUCAGAGGGAGAUAGAAGUUUUUAGGAGCGAUUGCUCCUUUGUUGGUCGAUUGCCACCGAGUUUUGUUCGUGAUUGUUCUGGAUUUGGAGUGGUUUUUAUCCAGUUACCGGCUGUCUGAAUAAGACGUGUUCAGGAAGCUUUUGUAGGCUUCGCUGUGGGGUGUUGGGCGUAUGAGGCGCAUGGAGAGCACAAUCAAGGUCCAAUGGCGAGUCUUAGUUGGGAUUGAAGGGUGUGUGCAGCGACGGUUAAGGAUUUUAACCUCUCUUGAUUCGGUUUAUGUGUUGGUGAUGUUCGUGUGCGUCAGGUCUAUCUCGAUGAUCUUCUCUCCUGGUGUUAUUUAUGAAUGUGUGCUCGUUA